AGAGUUUGUUCCUGGCUCAGGACGAACGCUGGCGGCGCGCCUAACACAUGCAAGUCGAACGGAGCUUAAAGAGCUUGCUUUUUAAGCUUAGUGGCGAACGGGUGAGUAACGCGUGAGUAACCUGCCCUGGAGUGGGGGACAACAGUUGGAAACGACUGCUAAUACCGCAUAAGCCCACGGAUUCGCAUGGAUCUGCGGGAAAAGGAUUUAUUCGCUUCAGGAUGGACUCGCGUCCAAUUAGCUAGUUGGUGAGGUAACGGCCCACCAAGGCGACGAUUGGUAGCCGGACUGAGAGGUUGAACGGCCACAUUGGGACUGAGACACGGCCCAGACUCCUACGGGAGGCAGCAGUGGGGGAUAUUGCACAAUGGGGGAAACCCUGAUGCAGCGACGCCGCGUGGAGGAAGAAGGUUUUCGGAUUGUAAACUCCUGUCGUUAGGGACGAUAAUGACGGUACCUAACAAGAAAGCUCCGGCUAACUACGUGCCAGCAGCCGCGGUAAUACGUAGGGAGCGAGCGUUGUCCGGAAUUACUGGGUGUAAAGGGAGCGUAGGCGGGAUGGCAAGUCAGAUGUGAAAACUAUGGGCUCAACCCAUAGACUGCAUUUGAAACUGUUGUUCUUGAGUGAGGUAGAGGUAAGCGGAAUUCCUGGUGUAGCGGUGAAAUGCGUAGAGAUCAGGAGGAACAUCGGUGGCGGAGGCGGCUUACUGGGCCUUUACUGACGCUGAGGCUCGAAAGCGUGGGGAGCAAACAGGAUUAGAUACCCUGGUAGUCCACGCCGUAAACGAUGGAUACUAGGUGUAGGAGGGUAUCGACCCCUUCUGUGCCGGAGUUAACGCAAUAAGUAUCCCGCCUGGGAAGUACGAUCGCAAGAUUUAAACUCAAAGGAAUUGACGGGGGCCCGCACAAGCGGUGGAGUAUGUGGUUUAAUUCGACGCAACGGGAAGAACCUUACCAAGCCUUGACAUUGAUCGCAAUCCGCAGAAAUGCGGAGUUCCUCUUCGGAGGACGAGAAAACAGGUGGUGCACGGCUGUCGUCAGCUCGUGUCGUGAGAUGAUGGGUUAAGUCCCGCAACGAGCGCAACCCCUAUCUUCUGUUGCCAGCACGUAAAGGUGGGAACUCAGGAGAGACCGCCGCGGACAACGCGGAGGAAGGUGGGGAAGACGUCAAAUCAUCAUGCCCUUUAUGACCUGGGCUACACACGUACUACAAUGGCGUUUAACAAAGAGAAGCAAGACCGCGAGGUGGAGCAAAACUCAAAAACAACGUCUCAGUUCAGAAAGCAGGCUGCAACUCGCCUGCAUGAAGUCGGAAUUGCUAGUAAUCGCGGAUCAGCAUGCCGCGGU
rnacentral:rRNA from 1 species